rnacentral:rRNA from 1 species
GGUGCGGUAUCUUCCGAGUUCCUNGGAACAGGACGCCUUANAGGGUGAGAGCCCCGUACGGUUGAAUGCCUAGCCUCUGUAAAUCUCCUUCGACGAGUCGAGUAUUUUGGGAAUGCUGCUCUAAAUGGGAGGUAAAUUUCUUCUAAAGCUAAAUAUUGGCCAGAGACCGAUAGCGCACAAGUAGAGUGAUCGAAAGAUGAAAAGCACUUUGAAAAAAGGGUUAAAUANCAUGUGAAAUUGUUGAAAGGGAAGGAUUUGUGACCAGACUUUUUCUGGGCGGAUCAUCCGGGGUUCUCUCCGGUGCACUUUGCCCAGUAAAGGCCNGCAUCNAUUUUCGGCGGCNGAUAAAAGCANUGGGAAUGUGGCUCCUUACUGGGAGUGUUAUAGCCCAUUGUAUAAUACGCUGCUGGNGAUCGAGGUAC